rnacentral:rRNA from 1 species
CAGUAGCCACGGUAAUACAGAGGGUGCGAGCGUUAAUCGGAUUUACUGGGCGUAAAGCGUGCGUAGGCGGCUUCUUAAGUCGGAUGUGAAAUCCCUGGGCUCAACCUGGGAACUGCAUCCAAAACUGGCAAGCUAGAGUAUGGUAGAGGGUGGUGGAAUUUCCUGUGUAGCGGUGAAAUGCGUAGAUAUAGGAAGGAACACCAGUGGCGAAGGCGACCACCUGGACUGAUACUGACACUGAGGUGCGAAAGCGUGGGGAGCAAACAGGAUUAGAUACCCGAGUAGUCCCUGUCUCUUAUAC